GGUUCCAUGGUGUAAUGGAGAGCACUCUGGACUGUGAAUUCAGCGAACUGAGUUCAGGUCUUGAUGGAACCU
rnacentral:tRNA from 1 species